AAAAAAUGGAAAAUGGAUUAUAUUAUGGUUAAGAGAGAAAAUAUGUCUCUUUAUCUCCCUCACAAAGCGCAGUGGUCCUCUUCUUCGAUUCGGUCCUUCUUCAUCAACGACUACUUCGCAUAUGUCUUUCAACCCCGGCGAUCUCCUUCUCCUUUGAUUUAACUCCACGUUUUGUUUUCUCUGAUUUGCCGUCAUCUCGGUCUCCAUGUCACUCUCUGGAUUUGUAGUUUUGAAAUUAAUCAACAGAAAACCAGAGGAAGAGAUGAAGAUCUUUGAGGAAAACUGUGUGAUUGCGUUAAGGCGUUUGUUGCGGCUGUGUGAUGUUGAACCUUGCAU